CGGAACGUGUCCUGUAGUGGGGGAUAGCCCGGCGAAAGCCGGAUUAAUACCGCAUACGCUCUACGGAGGAAAGGGGGGGAUCUUAGGACCUCCCGCUACAGGGGCGGCCGAUGGCAGAUUAGCUAGUUGGUGGGGUAAAGGCCUACCAAGGCGACGAUCUGUAGCUGGUCUGAGAGGACGACCAGCCACACUGGGACUGAGACACGGCCCAGACUCCUACGGGAGGCAGCAGUGGGGAAUUUUGGACAAUGGGGGCAACCCUGAUCCAGCAAUGCCGCGUGUGUGAAGAAGGCCUUCGGGUUGUAAAGCACUUUUGUCCGGAAAGAAAACGCCGUGGUUAAUACCCGUGGCGGAUGACGGUACCGGAAGAAUAAGCACCGGCUAACUACGUGCCAGCAGCCGCGGUAAUACGUAGGGUGCAAGCGUUAAUCGGAAUUACUGGGCGUAAAGCGUGCGCAGGCGGUCCGCUAAGACAGAUGUGAAAUCCCCGGGCUUAACCUGGGAACUGCAUUUGUGACUGGCGGGCUAGAGUAUGGCAGAGGGGGGUAGAAUUCCACGUGUAGCAGUGAAAUGCGUAGAGAUGUGGAGGAAUACCGAUGGCGAAGGCAGCCCCCUGGGCCAAUAC
rnacentral:rRNA from 1 species